rnacentral:rRNA from 1 species
UACGUAGGUGGCAAGCGUUGUCCGGAAUUACUGGGUGUAAAGCGCGCGUAGGCGGUAGGCCAAGUCUGCUGUGAAAUCGCCCGGCUCAACUGGGCGCGGUCGGUGGAAACUGGUCAACUGGAGGACGGUAGAGGCGAGUGGAAUUCCCCGGUGUAGUGGUGAAAUGCGUAGAGAUCGGGAGGAACACCAGUGGCGAAGGCGGCGAUCUGGGCAGAUACUGACGCUGAGGUGCGAAAGCGUGGGGAGCAAACAGG